rnacentral:snRNA from 1 species
AUACUUACCUGGCAAGGGAGAUACCAUGAUCACGAAAGGUGGUUUCCCAGGGCGAAGGCUAUCCAUUGCACUCCGGGUGUGCUGACCCCUGUGAUUUCCCCAAAUGUGGGAAACUCGACUGCAUAAUUUGUGGUAGUGGGGGACUGCGUUCCACUUUCCCCUG